UGUGGGAGCGAGCCUGCUCGCGAAGGCGUCAUGUCAGCCAGCAUCAAUGUUGACUGACACACUGCUUUCGCGAGCAGGCUCGCUCCCACA
rnacentral:antisense_RNA from 1 species